rnacentral:rRNA from 1 species
AUUGAACGCUGGCGGCAUGCUUUACACAUGCAAGUCGAACGGUAACAGGUUAAGCUGACGAGUGGCGAACGGGUGAGUAAUGCAUCGGAACGUGCCCGAUCGUGGGGGAUAACGCAGCGAAAGCUGCGCUAAUACCGCAUACGAUCUGAGGAUGAAAGCGGGGGACCGUAAGGCCUCGCGCGAUCGGAGCGGCCGAUGUCAGAUUAGGUAGUUGGUGGGGUAAAGGCUCACCAAGCCAACGAUCUGUAGCUGGUCUGAGAGGACGACCAGCCACACUGGGACUGAGACACGGCCCAGACUCCUACGGGAGGCAGCAGUGGGGAAUUUUGGACAAUGGGCGAAAGCCUGAUCCAGCAAUGCCGCGUGCAGGAAGAAGGCCUUCGGGUCGUAAACUGCUUUCGUACGGAGCGAAAAGGCUCUCUCUAAUACAGGGGGCUCAUGACGGUACCGUAAGAAUAAGCACCGGCUAACUACGUGCCAGCCGCCGCGGUAA